CUUGACAUGUCUGGAACCCUGCUGAAAGGUGGGGGUGCUCGAAAGAGAAUCAGAACACAGGUGCUGCAUGGCUGUCGUCAGCUCGUGUCGUGAGAUGUUGGGUUAAGUCCCGCAACGAGCGCAACCCUUGUCAUUAGUUGCUACGAAAGGGCACUCUAAUGAGACUGCCGGUGACAAACCGGAGGAAGGUGGGGAUGACGUCAAGUCCUCAUGGCCCUUAUGGGUAG
rnacentral:rRNA from 1 species